rnacentral:rRNA from 1 species
GAUGAACGCUGGCGGCGUGCUUAACACAUGCAAGUCGAACGAAGCACCUCUCCCGAAGAUUGACCCACUUUGCGGUAGAUUGAUUCAUUUAAGUUGAUUGAGGGGCGAACGGGUAAGUAACGCUUGGGUAACCUGCCCAUAAAGGGGGACCAACAGUUGGAAACGAUUGUUAUUACCGCAAAUUAAGAGGAUUUGGCUGGUUUCUUCCUUGAAAGAUUUAUCGCCAUGAGAUGGACCCGCGUCUGAUUAGCUAGUUGGUAAGGUAACGGCUUACCAAGGCGACGAUCAGUAGCCGGCUUGAGAGAGUGAACGGCCACAUUGGGACUGAGACACGGCCCAAACUCCUACGGGAGGCAGCAGUGGGGAAUAUUGCACAAUGGGGGAAACCCUGAUGCAGCGACGCCGCGUGAGUGAAGAAGUAUUUCGGUAUGUAAAGCUCUAUCAGCAGGGAAGAUAAUGACGGUACCUGACUAAGAAGCCCCGGCUAACUACGUG